rnacentral:rRNA from 1 species
GACGAACGCUGGCGGCGUGCUUAACACAUGCAAGUGGUGCGACGAACCAGGGCUUGCCCUGGGGCAAAGCCGCGAACGGGUGAGUAACACGUGGGUAAUCUGCCCCGAUGACCGGGACAACCCGAGGAAACUCGGGCUAAUACCGGAUGUGGUGCUUGGCUUUAAGGCCUUGUACUAAAGGAAGCUUCGGCCUCCGCAUUGGGAGGAGCCCGCGGCCCAUUAGCUUGUUGGUGGGGUAACGGCCUACCAAGGCAACGAUGGGUAGCUGGUCUGAGAGGACGAUCAGCCACACUGGGACUGAGACACGGCCCAGACUCCUACGGGAGGCAGCAGUGGGGAAUCUUGCGCAAUGCGCGAAAGCGUGACGCAGCAACGCCGCGUGGGGGAAGACGGCCUUCGGGUUGUAAACCCCUUUCAGGAGGGACGAAGGUUCACCGGUGAAUAGCCGUGUGGAUUGACGGUACCUCCACAAGAAGCUCCGGCUAACUACGUGCCAGCCGCCGCCGUAAAAC